AGGGAAUAUUAGUAAUGGGCGAAAGCCUGAACUAGCAACGCCGCGUGUGCGAAGAAGGCCUUCGGGUUGUAAAGCACUUUUUGAGAGGAUGAGGAAGGACGGUACUCUCAGAAUAAGUCUCGGCUAACUACGUGCCAGCAGCCGCGGUAACACGUAGGAGGCAAACGUUAUCCGGAUUUACUGGGCGUAAAGCGCGUGUAGGUGGUUUGGUAAGUAGGGCGUGAAAGCUCCUGGCUCAACUGGGAGAGGCCGUUCUAAACUGCCGAACUAGAGGAUGGUAGAGGGAGGUGGAAUUCCGGGUGUAGCGGUGGAAUGCGCAGAUAUCCGGAGGAACACCAGUGGCGAAAGCGGCCUCCUGGACCAUUCCUGACACUCAGACGCGAAAGCUAGGGUAGCAAACGG
rnacentral:rRNA from 1 species